rnacentral:rRNA from 1 species
AUCCAGACUCCUACGGGAGGCAGCAGUGGGGAAUAUUGCACAAUGGGGGAAACCCUGAUGCAGCGACGCCGCGUGAGCGAUGAAGUAUUUCGGUAUGUAAAGCUCUAUCAGCAGGGAAGAAGAUGACGGUACCUGACUAAGAAGCCCCGGCUAACUACGUGCCAGCAGCCGCGGUAAUACGUAGGGGGCAAGCGUUAUCCGGAUUUACUGGGUGUAAAGGGAGCGUAGACGGCGAUGCAAGCCAGAUGUGAAAGCCCGGGGCUCAACCCCGGGACUGCAUUUGGAACUGUGUGGCUGGAGUGUCGGAGAGGCAGGCGGAAUUCCUAGUGUAGCGGUGAAAUGCGUAGAUAUUAGGAGGAACACCAGUGGCGAAGGCGGCCUGCUGGACGAUGACUGACGUUGAGGCUCGAAAGCGUGGGGAGCAAACAGGAUUAGAUACCCCGGUA